rnacentral:tRNA from 1 species
GGUAGCUCAAUGGUAGAGCCGUCGGCUGUUAACCGAAAGGUUGCAGGUUCGAGUCCUGCCC